rnacentral:rRNA from 1 species
UACGGAAGGCGCAGUGGGGAAUAUUGCACAAUGGGCGAAAGCCUGAUGCAGCUAUGCCGCGUGUAUGAAGAAGGCCUUAGGGUUGUAAAGUACUUUCAUCGGGGAGGAAAAACAAAACUAAUAAUUUUAUUUCUUGACGUUACCCGAAAAAGAAGCACCGGCUAACUCCGUGCCAGCAGCCGCGGUAAUACGGAGGGUGCUAGCGUUAAUCAGAAUUACUGGGCGUAAAGAGCACGUAGGUGGUUUUUUUAAGUCAGAUGUGAAAUCCCUGGGCUUAACCUAGGAACUGCAUUUUGAAACUGAAAUACUAGAGUAUCGUAGAGGGAGGUAGAAUUCUAGGUGUAGCGGUGAAAUGCGUAGAUAUCUGGAGGAAUACCUGUGGCGAAAGCGGCCUCCUAAACGAAUACUGACACUGAGGUGCGAAAGCGUGGGGAGCAAACAGGGAUUAGAUACC